rnacentral:rRNA from 1 species
GCAUCGACCAGAGGGAAAAGGAGCAAUCCGCUUUGAGAUGGCCUCGCGUCCGAUUAGCUAGUUGGUGAGGUAACGGCCCACCAAGGCGACGAUCGGUAGCCGGACUGAGAGGUUGAACGGCCACAUUGGGACUGAGACACGGCCCAGACUCCUACGGGAGGCAGCAGUGGGGAAUAUUGCACAAUGGGGGAAACCCUGAUGCAGCGACGCCGCGUGGAGGAAGAAGGUCUUCGGAUUGUAAACUCCUGUUGUUGAGGAAGAUAAUGACGGUACUCAACAAGGAAGUGACGGCUAACUACGUGCCAGCAGCCGCGGUAAAACGUAGGUCACAAGCGUUGUCCGGAAUUACUGGGUGUAAAGGGAGCGCAGGCGGGAAGACAAGUUGGAAGUGAAAUCCAUGGGCUCAACCCAUGAACUGCUUUCAAAACUGUUUUUCUUGAGUAGUGCAGAGGUAGGCGGAAUUCCCGGUGUAGCGGUGGAAUGCGUAGAUAUCGGGAGGAACACCAGUGGCGAAGGCGGCCUACUGGGCACCAACUGACGCUGAGGCUCGAAAGUGUGGGUAGCAAACAGGAUUAGAUACCCUGGUAGUCCACACCGUAAACGAUGAUUACUAGGUGUUGGAGGAUUGACCCCUUCAGUGCCG